rnacentral:lncRNA from 1 species
CAUGGGGGCUGAUGAAGCCGUGCUGUACCCCGAGGAGAACGAGAUCGACGCAAGUCUGCGGGGCAGUGAUUACAUGGUGAAGGAGCAGCACUGCAGGAUGCAAGGCCGAGGGAGCCACAGUGAGAGCAAGAAAAGCCGCAGCCCGGACAGUGCCUGCUCUCUGGGCUACGACAGCAGGGACUCCAGCCCAGAUCGGGUCCUGGAUGAUUCUGCAGAUGUGGGGUCCCUGAGCCAGGACAGCUCUGAUGAGGAGAAUGAAGAGAGGGAAGAAGAGGAGCAGAAGGCAGAAGUGACGACUAUAGACGAGGCUCUGAGGACAGUGACUGACACUGCUGACUGCAGUCAAGAAGAUUUCCUCAAGCAGAACUUUGAGACGCUGGAAGAGAGCAG